rnacentral:lncRNA from 1 species
CCAGGCAAUAGUGUUUUAUCUAAGUAACAAAAAGUAAUGCUUGAGCCUGUUGUGCCCAAAUUCUGAACCCCAAAAUCACCAAGAGGCCCAUUUCAAUGUUAAAGCAAUGAGUCUUUUAUUGCAGUUGUUUAACGAGUUAAUCCCAUUAGCUCGGGCCUUUCAUCCAUCCACCAAGGCAGAUGGCUGGGGAAAGACCCCGAGAAACCACAGGACAGCAUAAGGGGAGUGUCUAGGGGUACUCACAUGCUCAGGAAUUGUGUGCUUCCAGGCUUGGAGGACUUGCCCUGUGUUGAUUGGUCAACUGGUUGUUAUGGCCCAUAGGCUGCCAAAAUGGGGAGCUGGUCCCUUCAAGCCAUGAUCUAUAACAGUUAUUUACACUGGAUUCAGCAUGAGAGAAUUCAUCCUGGGGAAACCCUAUGACUAUAAAGAACAUGACAAAGCCUUUAAAUCUCAAUCCUUAUUGUGUCACAUUUGAUAAGAAUUUAUACAUGUAAUUACUCUGGAAAAGUAAGCAAGAUAUUCUGAGAAACAUUUUACAAAUGUAAAGAGAGUAGCAAAACUUUCCUUAGAUCUCUCUCUCUCUCUCUCUCUCUCUCUCUCUCUCCUCUCUCCGAGGAUAUGGACACUAAUUAUUCACUUGUGGAAGCCAGAGGACAAUGAGAAUCUUCUUCAGUUGGAGCUUGCUGUUUCUGCUAGACCAGUUGGUGAGUGAGCCCCUGUGGUCCAUCUGCUCCACUCAGCUCUGUAAUUACAGACACAUGCUACCUGCCUGGCUGAUGUAGGUCCUGG